rnacentral:tRNA from 1 species
GGCUUCGGGGUGUCACACGUGGGGUUGCAAACCUCAAAAAGCAGGAGAGUUUCUGCCGGAGCU